AGCAGCCGCGGUAAUUCCAGCUCCAAUAGCGUAUAUUAAAGUUGCUGCAGUUAAAAAGCUCGUAGUUGAAUUUCGGGACUAAUAUGUCGGUCGUGCCUCGGUACGUACUGGUAUUUUUGGUUUCUCCCUUCUGACGAACCUUGAUGUUAUUAAUUUGGUGUCUUGGGAAAUCAGGACUGUUACUUUGAAAAAAUUAGAGUGUUUAAAGCAGGCUCACGCUUGAAUACAUUAGCAUGGAAUAAUGAAAUAGGACGUUUGAUUCUAUUUUGUUGGUUUCUAGGAUCGACGUAAUGAUUAAUAGGGAUAGUUGGGGGCAUUAGUAUUCAAUUGUCAGAGGUGAAAUUCUUGGAUUUAUUGAAGACUAACUACUGCGAAAGCAUUUGCCAAGGAUGUUUUCAUUAAUCAAGAACGAAAGUUAGGGGAUCGAAGACGAUCAGAUACCGUCGUAGUCUUAACCAUAAACUAUGCCGACUAGGGAUCGGAUGAUGUUAAUUUUUUAAUGACUCAUUCGGCGCCUUACG
rnacentral:rRNA from 1 species